GGGUGAAAAGAGCCUGAAACCGUCAUGGGGGAAGCGGAUCGCGUUGGCCUGGUGGGCGCCUGUGUGUUCAGCCUUCGGGUGCAUUGGCACAGGUGCUUAUCCGCUGUGGGUUUUCGGGGGUCGAUUUUGGAUCCCUGGAGGCUGAGGGCUCCCUUCGGGUGAGGACAGCGGAGUGACGACGCGAUACGACCCGUCUUGAAACACGGACCAAGGAGUCUAGCGCGGGUGCGAGUCGGAGGGUGCAAGCCCGUGGGCGAAGUGAAAGCGAGUGUAAAAACGAGCAGUUUGGGGCGGCAUAAGAUCGUUGAUCUCAAGACCGACCCAGAGCAGUUGCGCUGGGACCCGAAAGAUGGUGAACUAUGCCGGAGUAGGGCAAAGCCAGAGGAAACUCUGGUGGAGGCUCGUAGCGGUGCUGACGUGCAAAUCGCUCGUCCAACUUGGGUAUAGGGGCGAAAGACUAAUCGAACCAUCUAGUAGCUGGUUCCCUCCGAAGUUUCUCUCAGGAUAGCGGGCCGACAAGUUGUUUUGUGCGGUAAAGCGAAUGAUU
rnacentral:rRNA from 1 species